CCCUAGCCCCGAUAGCAAUGGUUACCCCGCAGCAGUGGUGUAGAACCGCGGGCUUCGCGCAUGGGAAAGCACUAGGCGCGAGGAGUAUGAAUGAAUAGCGGGAAAAAGC
rnacentral:sRNA from 1 species